GACGAACGCUGGCGGCGUGGAUUAGGCAUGCAAGUCGAACGGUAUCAUCCUUUCGGGGGUGAGAGAGUGGCGAACUGGUGAGUAACACGUAGGUUAUCUACCCUCAAGACGGGGACAACCCAGGGAAACUUGGGCUAAUACCGGAUGUGAGCAACUUUUAGUUGUUUGAAAGGUGGCGUAAGCUGUCGCUUGGGGAUGAGCCUGCGUCCUAUUAGUUAGUUGGUGAGGUAACGGCUCACCUAGGCAAUGAUAGGUAGGCGGCCUUAACGGGUGGUCGCCCACACUGGGAUUGAGAUACGGCCCAGACUCCUACGGGAGGCAGCAGUCGAGAAUAGUCUACAAUGGUCGGAAGACUGAUAGUGCGACGCCGCGUGAACGAUGAAUCCCUUCGGGGUGUAAAGUUCUUUUAUAUGUGAGCAGUGCUUCUUAUAUUAACAGUAUGGGGAGAGAGAUAUUAGCAUAUGAAUAAGCAACGGCUAACUCCGUGCCAGCAGCCGCGGUAAACUCG
rnacentral:rRNA from 1 species